rnacentral:rRNA from 1 species
CUAGUUGGUAAGGUAACGGCUUACCAAGGCAACGAUGCAUAGCCGACCUGAGAGGGUGAUCGGCCACACUGGAACUGAGACACGGUCCAGACUCCUACGGGAGGCAGCAGUAGGGAAUCUUCCGCAAUGGGCGAAAGCCUGACGGAGCAACGCCGCGUGAGUGAUGAAGGUCUUCGGAUCGUAAAACUCUGUUAUUAGGGAAGAACAUAUGUGUAAGUAACUGUGCACAUCUUGACGGUACCUAAUCAGAAAGCCACGGCUAACUACGUGCCAGCAGCCGCGGUAAUACGUAGGUGGCAAGCGUUAUCCGGAAUUAUUGGGCGUAAAGCGCGCGUAGGCGGUUUUUUAAGUCUGAUGUGAAAG